UAAGAGGUUUGCCUCUGUAUCUAGGUCUAUACCCGAACUCUUACCGAACUCGAGCGUCCUUACCUAAAUAGCCAUACAUACUACUUUUGUGGGAACCAUGGCUUU
rnacentral:rRNA from 1 species